GAGUAGGCUGGGCAGUCGCCGUUUUGCGGAGGAAAGUCCGGGCUCCAAAGGGUAGGGAGCCAGGUAACACCUGGGGAGCGUGAGCUCACGGAAAGUGCAACAGAAAAAAUACCGCCGCGCUUAGAAAUGAUCGCGGUAAGGGUGAAAUGGUGUGGUAAGAGCGCACCGCGCUGAUGGCAACAUCUAGUGGCUUGGCAAACCCCUCCCGGAGUAAGACCAAAUAGAGAUCUUUUGGCGUUACCCGCGCCGGAUCAGGGUAGGUCGCUUGAGAUUAUUGGUGACAAUGAUCCUAGAUGAAUGACUGUCCUCGACAGAACCCGGCUUACAGGCUUACUCU
rnacentral:RNase_P_RNA from 1 species